UGACAGAAUUUAAGGAUGCCAAACCAUUGA
rnacentral:piRNA from 1 species